UACGUAGGGGGCUAGCGUUGUCCGGAAUUAUUGGGCGUAAAGCGCGCGCAGGCGGUCCUUUAAGUCUGAUGUGAAAGCCCACGGCUCAACCGUGGAGGGUCAUUGGAAACUGGGGGACUUGAGUGCAGGAGAGAAGAGUGGAAUUCCACGUGUAGCGGUGAAAUGCGUAGAGAUGUGGAGGAACACCGGUGGCGAAGGCGGCGACCUGGGUAGAUACUGACGCUGAGGUGCGAAAGCGUGGGGAGCAAACAGG
rnacentral:rRNA from 1 species